UAGAACUUGUGAUCUCAACUUGAGAAGAGGAUUUUGAGAAGAAAGAGGAGUUAAAGAUAGUGAUUUGAAGCUUUAAGUGAGGUUAGCAUAUCAAACUCCUUAUUUUUCCAUUUACAUGCAUAACUAGUGGUUGAAAUGAGCUUAGAACUUGAUUUAAAUGAAAUAAAAAUGGGGGAAGAACCAAACUGAAUUUUCGGGCAGCUUGAGAGGAGUG
rnacentral:misc_RNA from 1 species